UACGUAGGGGGCAAGCGUUAAUCGGAAUUACUGGGCGUAAAGCGUGCGCAGGCGGUUUUGUAAGUCUGACGUGAAAGCCCCGGGCUUAACCUGGGAAUUGCGUUGGAGACUGCAAGGCUUGAAUCUGGCAGAGGGGGGUAGAAUUCCACGUGUAGCAGUGAAAUGCGUAGAGAUGUGGAGGAACACCGAUGGCGAAGGCAGCCCCCUGGGUCAAGAUUGACGCUCAUGCACGAAAGCGUGGGGAGCAAACAGG
rnacentral:rRNA from 1 species